CCAAUGGCAAGCAGUCAACUCCUAUGUAGAUCUCCGCCAGCUUCUUCCUUCCCCUUUGUCCGCCCCGACUUCCCUGAUCUCGCCGUCCUCCUCUUUCAGAUCCUCCCCCUCCCCAUCCACGACCGCGCGACCUCCCCAUCCAUGGCCAUCUGCCCCUAUGCAUCCCGCAACCGCCGCGGCGACAUCCUCGUCCCCAGAGGCGGGGACUUCCCUUAAGGCGAACCUAGUGCACGUGGCGCCGGUACCGUUGAUGCGGGUCGGGCGGCGGUCAGAUCUGCCACGGCCAGAACCGGCGUCCUCUUCCUCCCUAUCCAGCUUCCUCCCAUGGCUGAGAAGAGGGCUUCGUCAAGGAUCCCAUGACGGAGGUCAACGUGGGAGGCUGCUUCCUCCGAUCCCAGAUCGACCAUCCGUCGAUGGAGGCCAUGAGAGCCACGUGGGCACACACAUGGCUGCGCUUCAAGCUCGAUAGAUGCAGGGACGCCGCCAUGGAACAGUCAGGGCCUCCCUUCUCUUCCCGUUUAGUCCGAUCCGCCACUGCCAGCCAUUUCCGGCGCCCUUGCACCAAAGCGGUGAAGGGCACAAUGAUGAAUUCAACGCAAGAUCCUACUGGUGAUCCAACAGAUGGGAGCCCAACAGACGCAAACACAUCAGAUGCCUAAGAAAAGGACUGGCAAAUAAAAUAGGAAUCCAAACUUGCAAAAUUCUCUUUUACAGAACGCUAGUACUACUGGGACUCUAUGUACAAGGCACAAUGUAAUUGCUCCAAAUACGCUCAUACAAGUUGCAACAAUGAAUACUCGAAUGUUUCGAGCAAUGGGAAGUUGUUUGGCCCCGUUUGCUUGCAAGAUGUGACGCUCAUGGCAGCCACGCCCCCACAACCAAGAAUUGACUUGUAUAUCCAGUGCGUGCUAUAGAAAAAAUCUCAAGAUGGAAGAUCAUCGAAGGCACUCAAUAUUUAUAUUCUACGACUGAUGCAGAAGUGGUCAGUGCAAUCCAUCUAUCCUUGAUAACAGCGUACAAGGCUCCAACCCUCAUCUGCCAACUUUAAAUAUGUGUUUUACAUCUAUUUUAAUGACUCAUUGGAACAUAAAACUCUAUAAUAUCAAAGUUAGUAUUCAUAUGAUUUUCGCAUUGUUUUUGAGUAUCUCGGAAGCUCUGACUCAUGUCAUUCCAUCAUUUCUUUAUUCACUACUACAUUGAUCCUUCUACAUCAAGUUCAUCUUUGUCUUAGUUGAUAGCAUCAAUGCUAUAACUUACAAACAUGUCAAUCUCCCUCGGACCAACAAAUUUCCUUCCCUGGUAGAUGGCUAGACCGUUGUCGAUGACUCCAAGGGAUGACUCUAUCACCAAGGUGCAAACCUAGGGUUUAAUUCCAACAAAAAUAGGAACACGCAUUUUAUCAUUGAUUCUAGCACACCCCCUCUAACUUCAUUUCAAGACUAUGAAUCACACAAAUAUGUGAAAAUGGUAGGUGAUGUCUCUUGGCCAAAAAUCAUGUCUUUCGAGCAUCACCCAAGUUUUUUUUCGAUAUCAUCACCCUAGGAUUUUUUAGAUGAUGAACUCAGAAAUAUGGAAAACAUUCGGAUGAAUGAAUGGGACAUAACCCAUAUCAUAUGAGACAACUAAGAUCUUCUCAAAAAUACUCACUCCAUUGUCGUUUCCAUUUCCACCUUGCAAAUUUAAACUAGAUAAAAAUCCUAUGCUUAUUCUACCCUCCGCCGCAUUCCAUCCCUGUCGUAUGGCCCAAUCUUGCAUUGGGACAACACAACAUAAGUCAUACCGGCCGCAUCGGGGACCCGAGCGCCAUCCAAAGCCGGUGGAUGACCCAACGUACAUAGCUAAUUGUUACCGAAAAAGUAAUGAAACCACUUCAUCGUAUGCGUAUAUUUAUGGAAUUUCCCAGAACAUUCUACAGGAUAGUAGCAAGGAAUACACACUAGUUUAAAACAUGAUUACACCCCUUUCAUGAAAAUUGGAUAGAAAUCUAUAACAAACAAUAGUUAAAUACUUGUAAUACUCAUGUGAAACCACGCUUGCUUGACAAACCUACAUGUCUCUGCUUUGUAACUAUACAUAGACAUUUUAUAAGGCAACAACAAUGAAUUAUCCAUACACUAGUAUAACUUGAGUUGCUUACCGAAUUUAAUUGUAUUUCCUAUCAUAUGACAUCUUAAAUGUUGCUACGAAUUUGGUGAUUGAGAUGAUGAGGCAAAUAUGUUGCCUGGUGUAAUAACACAAGAGAGCUACUUCAGUUUGAUGCUUCUUUAGUAAUUUAUUAGCAUGAUUCACUAAUCAUGGUUGUAUAGCCAACAUUUUCCAACUUGAAGUGUUGCCAAUUAACUGACAACCGCACAUUUGUUUCAUACAUCAGGACUAUAUGAGCUGAAUUACUUUUAUAUAUUUCAGGUUUUAAGGUCUUUGGGCUCCAACGUAACAUCUUUAUAGGAACAUAUCUUCCAUUAUUGGACCCAAAAACUUUUGUUGAGGUUGUUGGGAUUGGUAAAGGGAAGCAUAAUUUAAUUAGAUUUUGUUCAAGACUCAUGCAAAACAAACAAAGGUCUAUUAGUUUCAGCCAACAUGACAAAAGGCAUAAAUUGUUCCAUGCUUGCUAGAAAAGAUGUAACCAACGCCUUAGCAGGUGAUUUCAGGAGAACUAAGGCGAAGUUAAAUGAUCAAUUUUGGGAAGCUGUUUGGCCCUAUUUUCUUGCAAGAGGGUGGCACUCAAAGCAUCCAAAAGACGUCCAGCAUCCAAGAAAUACCUUGUAUAUAUAGUGCAUCCUAAGAAAAAUUCUCAAGAAGGAAGCUCGCUAAAGUCACUCACUAUUAUGAUUCUAUCACUGUGAAGUGGCCAGUGCAUUCUAUCUAUUCUUAGUAACAACUGACUAGCUUCCACCCUCUCACUUGCAAACUUGUAAACCCCCCUCUCACUUCAUUUCAAGAGUGUGGAUCACACAAAAAUGUGAAAAUGAUAGGUGAUGUCUCUUGGACAAAAAUCAUAUCCUUUGAGCAUCACCAAUGGUUUUUUAAUUCAUCGCCAUAGGCUGAAUUUAAAAUAAAGGAUGAACUCGCAAAUAUGGAAAACAUUUGGAUGACAUAAUAGGAUGCAACCCAUAUCAAACGAGAUAAUUGAAAUGUACUGAAAAAUACUCACUCCAUUGUCGUUUCCAUUUCCACCUUCCAAAUUAAAACUGGAUAGAAACUCUAGGGUUAUUCCACCAUCCGCCGCAUUCCAUCCCUAUUGUCUGGCCCAAUCUUGCAUCUUGGCACAACAAAACGGUAAGUCGGACCAGCCACAUUGGGGACCCGAGCAUCUCACCAAGCCAGUGCAUGACCUGGCGGAGAUAACUAACUGUUUUUGAAAAGAUAAUGAAACCGACGUGGUUGUAUGCAAAUAUUUAUGGAAUUUAUCCAGAACUUUCAACAUGAUUGUACUGAGGAAUAAACACUUGUUUAAAACAUUGUUACAUCCCUUUCAUGAAACUAGGAUAAAAAUCUAUAACAAACAUAGGUGAAAUGCUUGUUAUAGUCAUGUGAAACAACUUCUCCAUGACAAACUAACACUGUCUCUACGCGGUUCAUUAUUCGAUAUCCAUGAGUUAUUCUCCUUUGUAACUAUACAUGGACUUUUUUACCAUGCGACAGCUGUGAAUUUUCAAUACACUAGUAUACACUAGUGUAACUUGAGUUGCUUACUUAAUUUGAUAGUAUUUCCUAUCAUAUGACAUCUUAAAUGUCUCUAUGAAUUUGGUGAUUGAGAUAUCUAGGCAAAUAUAUCCCCUCAUGUACUAACACAAGAGAACUGUCAAAAUUAGUUUGAUACUUCUUCACUAAUUCAUUAGCAUGAUUCACAAAUCAUGAUUUUUACAGUUAACCUUUUGCACACACCUAGUGUUGCUAAUUAACCAAUGUUCGCAUAUUUGUUUGAUACAUCAAGGCUAUAUGAGCUUAAUUACUUUUGCAUCUUACAAUUUUAAGAUCUUUGGGCUUGGAACUAACAUCUUUACAGGAAUGUCUCUUCAUCGUGAAAUCCACCAUUCGACUAAAAACUUCUAUUGAGCUUGUCGUUAUUGGUAAAGGGAAGUAUAAUAUGACUGGAUUUGUACAGGACACAUCCAAAACAAACAAAGGUCUAUCGGUUUCCGCUACUUCUUGAGCUUGAGUUGGUUUUUCCCUUGGAGAGGAAAGGGUGAUGCAGCAAAGUAGAGAUAAGUAUUAACCUCAGUUGAGAACCAAGGUAUCAAUCCAGUAGGAGGAACAUACAAGUUAUCAAUGGUUGCACCUACACAAACAAACAAAUACUUGCACCCAACGCAAUAAAGGGGUUAUCAAUCCCUUCACGGUUAGUUGCAAGGAUGAGAUCUGAGAUACAAAAGAUAAGUAAAAGAUCAAAAUAAGAUAAAGGUAAAUAAAUUGCGGCAAGGUAUUUUUGGGUUAUUGAAUUUGUAGAUCUAAAAAUAAUAUGAUAAAAGAUGGACCCAGGGGCCAUAGUUUUCACUAGAGGCUUCUCUCUUGAAAGAAAGUAUAUGCUGGGUAAACUAAUUACUGUUGAGCAUUUGACAGAAAAGCGCAUAGUUAUGACAAUCUCUAAGGCAAUGAUCAUGAAUAUAGGCAUCACGUCCGUGACAAGUAGACCGACUCCUGCCUGCAUCUACGACUAUUAUUCCACACAUCUACCGCUAUCCAGCAUGCAACUAGUGUAUUAAGUUAACAAGAACGGAGUAACACCUUAAGCAAAAUGACAUGAUGUAGAGGGAUAGGAAACUAUAUAAAUACCUGUCAUGUCCCUUUCUAUCACUGGGAAUAAGCACCGCAAGACUGAACCCAUUAAAAAGCACUGCUCCCAUGGCAAGAAAAAUCAAUCUAGUUGGCCAAACUAAAUCAAUAGACCAGAGAGAAACACAAAGCUAUAUUAAUUAUGCAUAAAAGAGUUCAGAGAAGACUUAAAUAAUAUUCAUAAAUAAUCUGAUCAUAAACCCACAAUUAAUCGGAUCUCAACAAAGGCACCGCAAAAGAAGAUUACAUCGACUAGAUCUCCAAGAACAUCGAGGAGAACAUUGUAUUGAAGAUCAUAGCGAGAGAAGAAGCCAUGUAGCUACUAGCUAUGGACCCGUAGGUCCGUGGUAAAAUACUCACACGUCAUCGGAAGGGCAACAAGGUUGAUGUAGAAGCCCUCCAUGGUCGAAUCCUCCUUCGGCAGGGUACCGAAAAGGCCUCCAGAUGGGAUUUCACGAGGACAGAAACUUGCGGAGGAGGAAAAGUAUUUUGGUGUGCCCUCUGGUCUACGAGGAAUAUUUGGGUAUUUAUAGAUGAAGAAUUAUGGUUAGAGGAGCGACGAGGGGCCCACAAGCAUGGGGGCACGCCCCCUAGGGCUUGCCCCCUAAGCUUGUCAUCGCCUCGUGGCCCAUCUGGCCUCCUCUCGAAGCUUCCAGGGUGUGUUGUGGUCCAAGAAAAAUCGUCAAAAAGUUUCAUUCCAUUUGGACUCCAUUUGGUAUUGAUUUUUUGUAAAGGCAAAAAUAAGGAAAAAACCGCAACUGGCACUUGGCACUAGGUUAAUAGGUUAGUCCCAAAAAAUGAUAUAAAAUAGCAUAAUAAUUCAUAUAAAACACCCAGAGAUGGAUAAUAUAAUAGCAUGGAACAAUAAAAAAAUUAUAAAUACGUUGGAGACGUAUCAAGCAUCCCCAAGCUUGAUGGCAUGUUCGAGUUGCACUUUCUGACUUAUACUUCAUGCAUGUGUGCUUGUGUGCUAAGCAGGAUCUGCAUAUAUGGGUUGUUAUGGCCACCAUGUAAAGCUUUGAUCGUAGCCGUUUUCUUUGCAUGUCGUCUAGUUUGAAAUUGUGCAUGGUGUGGUUACAUAUCCUUAUGCUUUUAUGAUUGCAUGCAUGUCGAGUCGUAUUCGUGGUUGCCAAUGUCCUUGAUAGAAACCAUGAAUAUUUCCUUGUAUACACUGAGGUCUAUCCUUGUACUCUUGGGUAUAUCAGACAGAUUUAAUAGCAAGAUAUUUUUACCUGACAUGUUGCGCUGGUCACACAUGUCAAUACUGUAUGUAAGUUUAUGUCUUAAAUCUCAGUCGUUGAUACAAAAAAUGAACAACCACUAUAAUUUAAUCUAUGUGGACAGACAUAAUCGCUUGUUUGUCUUUCUUUAAUAAUAAUAUAAAAUAGAUAGAUGUGCCGUCACUCCAAAUUCCACCACUGAACCCAAAAUAAAUAGUUGAGGUUGUUGGGAACGAAAGCAUGCUUUGACUGGAUUUGUUCAGGACACAACCAAAAUAAACAAAGGUCUAUUAGUUUCCGCCGACAUGCCUAAAGGCAUAAAUUGUUCCAUGCUUGCUACAAAAUUAAUAGUCAAUGCCUAAAUAGGUAAUUUCGGGAGAAGUAAGGAGAAGUUAAAUGAUCUAUUUGGGAAGUUGUUUGGCCCCGUUUGCUUGCAAGAGGUGGACUUAGAGUAGUCAAAAGACAUAUGCACAGCCAAGAAUUACCUUGCAUAUCAAGCACCUACUAUAAAAAAAAUUCUCAACAAGGAAUCUCACCAAAGGCACUCUCUAUUUCUAUUCUAUCACUGAGUAUGAAGCGGCAAGUGCAUUCUAUUUGUCCUCAAUAACAACGUACUAGGCGCCACCCCUCCUCCACUAGCUCCAAAUAUGUGUUUACAUCUAUUUUCGUGAACUCGUUGGUACAUAAAACUCUAAUGUCAAAGUUGGUAUUAAUUUGUUUUCCCCAAUGUUUUCGGGUAUCCGGUAGGCUCUGACUUAUAUUAUUCCGUCAUUCCUUUAUUAACUACUACAUAGUCUCAUCUACAUAAAAUUCCUGGUUAUCUUAGAGAAUAGCAUCAAACAUGUCAAUAUCCCUCGGAACUACCAUUUUCCUUCCCUAGUAGAUGGCUAAACCAUCGUAGAUAACUUCGAGAUAUGAAUAUAUCAUCAAGUAUGCUAGAACUUUGACAAAAGACAUGAAAUGCAAACGUAGGGUUUAAUUACAACAAAAAGAGGUACACCCAUUUUAUCAUUGCUUCUUGCAAACCCCCUCUAACUUUAUUUCAAGAGUGUGAAUCACACUAAUAUGUGAAAAUGGUAGGUGAUGUCUCUUGGGCCAAAAAUCAUCUCUCUCGAGCAUCGUCCAAGGAUUUUUUGAUAUCAUCACCCUAGGUUGAAUUUCAAAUAAACGGUGAACUCCGAAAUAUUGAGGACAUUUGGAUGACAAAACAGGACGCAACCCAUAUCAUACGAGACAAUUGAGAUCUACUAAAAAAUAACAUCCAAAUUUUAGUUUGAUGAAUCUUCACCAUUUUUUAGCAUGAUUCCCUUCAUGAUUAUACAAUAAAACUUUUCUGCACGCCUAGUGUUGCCGAUUAACCAACAUUCUGAUAUUUGGUUCAUACAUCAUGACCAUAUGAGCUGAAUUACUUUUUAAUAUUUCAUGUUUUAACUAACAUCUCUGGAAUGCACCAUUGGACCAAAAACAUUUGUUGAGCUCGUUAGGUUUGGUAAAGGGAAGCAUGAUUUGACUAGAUUUGUAGAUGACACAUCCAAAACAAACAAAGGUCUAUCGGUUUCUGCAAACGCGCCUAAAGGCAUAAAAAUGUUCCAUUUUUGCUACAAAAGACAUAUUCAAUGCCUUAAGAGGUGAUUUCAGGAAAAGUAAGGCAAAGUUAUCUAUCUUUGGAAGCUCUUUAGCCCCACUUACUUGCAUGAUGGCGGCGCUUAGAGCAACCAAAAGACGUCUGCACAACCAAGAAUUACCUUGUAAAUUUCGUACCUGCUAUAAAAAAUUCUCAAGAUGGAAGUUCACUGAAGGCACUCACUAUUUUGAUCUUAUCACUGAUGAUGAAGUGGUCAGUGCAAUCCAUCUAUCCUUAAUAAUGGAAUACAAGGCUCCAACCCUCCUCCGCCAACUUCAAAUAUGUGUUUUACAUCUAUUUUCAUGAACUCAUUGGCACAUAAAACUAUCUAAUAUCAAAGCUAGUAUUCAUGUGUUUUUCGCAUUAUUUUUGAGUACCUCCUAGACUCCGACUCAUGUCAUUCCUUCAUUUUUUUAUUCACUACUACAUUGUUCCUUCUACAUCAAGUUCCUCUUUGUCUUAGUUGAUAGCAUCAACGCUAUAACUUACAAACAUGUCAAUCUCCCUCGGAACAAUAAUUUUUUGUCCCCCAUAGAGAGCUAAACCAUUGUUGAUGACUCAAAGCGAUGAAUCUAUCACCAAAUAUACUAAAGCUUUGACAAGAGACAUGAAAUGCAAACAUAGGGUUUAAUUCCAAAAAAAUAUGUACACAAAUUUUAUCAUAUCUUCUAGCAAACCCCCACUAACUUCAUUUCAAGAGUGUGUUUCACGCAGAUAUGCUAAAAUGGUAGGUGAUGUCUGUUGGCUGAAAAGCAUGUCUUUCGAGCAUCACCCAAGGUUUUUUCGAUAUCAUCAGCCUAGGUUGAAUUUAAAAUAAAGGAUGAACUUAGAAAUUUGGAGAACAUUCGGAUGAUAAAACAAGACACGACCCAUAUGAUAUGAGAUAACUGAGAUCUACUCAAAAAUACUCACUCCAUUGUCGGUUCCAUUUCAACCUUCCAAACAAAAACUAGACUGAAAUCUUAGGGUUAUUCCACCAUCUGCCGCAUUCCAUCCCCUUUGUCUGACCCAAUCUCACAUCUUGACACAACACAACGGUAAGUCAUACGAGCCGCAUCGAGACCCGAGACCUCCAAAAGUCGGUGGAUGGCCAGCCGGAGAUAGCUAAUUGUUUUUGAAAAAAUAAUGAACUCAACGCGGUUGUAUGUGAAUAUUUAUGGAAUUUUUCCAGAACAUUCUACAUGAUUGUAGCGAGGAAUAAACACUUGUUUAAAACAUUUUUACUUCCAUUUCAUGAAACCAGGAUAAAAAAUCUAUAACAAACGAAGGUGAAAUACCUGUAAUAGUCAUGCGAAAUCACCUCGGCUUGACAAGUCAACAUGUCUCUACGCGGUUCAUUAUAAGAUAUACAUGAGUUGUUCUUCUUUGUAACUACACAUGAUUGUACAAUCAACCUUUUCCACACACCUAGUGUUGCCAAUUAACUAACUUUCUCAUAUUUGUUUCAUACAUCAUGACUAUAUGAGCUGAAUUGCUUUUUCAUAUUUCAAGUUUUAAGGUCUUUGCGCUCUGAACUAACAUCUUUAGGAAUGUGUCUUCACUCCAAAUUCUACCAUUCGACUAAAAAGUUAUGCUGAGGUUGUUGGGAUUGGUAAAGGGAAGCAUGAUUUGACAAAAUUUGUUCAGGACACGUCCAAAACAACCAAAGGUCUAUCUAUGUCCCCAAACAUGCCUAAAUGCAUAAAAAUGUUCCAUGCAUGCUACAAAAGACAUAGGCAACUCCUUAACAUGUGAUUACAGGAGAAGUAAGGUGAAGAUAUCUAUUCUGGGAGGCUGUUUGGCCCCAAUUGGUAUCAAGAUGUGACACUCGUAGCAGCCAUAAGAUGCCUGCACGACCAAGAAUUACCUUGUAUAUCUGGUGCUUGGUAUAAAAAUACUAAAGAUGGAAGAUCAUCGAAGGCACUCAAUAUUUCCAUUCUAUGACUGAUGCAGAAGUGGUCAGUGCAAUCCAUCUAUCCUUAAUAACAGCGUACAAGGCUCCAACCCCUAUCCGCCAACUUUAAAUAUGUGUUUUGCAUAUAUUUUCAGGACUCGUUGGUACAUAAAACUAUAUAAUAUAAAAGUUAGUAUUCAUGUGUUUUUCGCA